CAAGCGGUGGAACAUGUGGUUCAAUUCGACGCAACGCGAAGAACCUUACCUGGGCUUGAACCGCUACUGACCAACGGUAGAAAUAUCGUCUUCCCGCAAGGGACAGUAGUAGAGGUGCUGCAUGGCUGUCGUCAGCUCGUGCCGUGAGGUGUUGGGUUAAGUCCCGCAACGAGCGCAACCCUUAUUCGUAGUUGCCACCCGCAAGGGGGAACUCUACGAGGACUGCUCCGGAUAACGGAGAGGAAGGUGGGGAUGACGUCAAGUCAGCACGGCCUUUAUGUCCAGGGCUACACACGUGUUACAAUGCACGGUACAGACUGUUGCGAACCCGCGAGGGGGAGCUAAUCGGAUAAAACCGUGCUCAGUUCGGAGUUGCAGUCUGCAACUCGACUGCAUGAAGCUGGAAUCGCUAGUAAUGGCGUAUCAGAUCGACGCCGUGAAUACGUUCCCCGGGCCUUAUACACACC
rnacentral:rRNA from 1 species